rnacentral:siRNA from 1 species
UUCGGAAAUUUGCGUGGUUGCCA